UCUAUAAAAAAUAAGAUAGAGAAAAAGGAAAUAAAUAGGUUAAGACUAUUGUUAAACACUGCAUAUGAAGUACAUCUUUUUCAUAAAUUUUCAAGUGUUUUUAAUCGAUUUUAUCGAUAAUUUAUGUUUAUUUUAUUAUUAAUUAUUUUAUUAUUAAUAUCACCAUAAUCACUCGCUAAAUUAAGUUCUUUAUUCAUUGAAAAUUGUAAUACAAUAAUCAGUUGAUAUUCGUAUAACUUAUGUUAUAAAGCGUCUUAAGUGUAUACGAAUUUUGUUAAUUAAUUUGAUUGGCCAUGUGCAUAAAACUGGAUUAAAAUUUUUCCGACAACAACAACAACAAACAGCUAUUGACUCAGUUUGAAUAACGAAUAAUAAAGUAGCUCACUCAUCUGUUGUUCGUAAAGUUUCAGUGAUAUUUAAGAGAAAAUUAAGCGGUUGGUUUAAUAAUUUUCUCUAAGCCGAAGAAAAUAUUUGAAAAAUUUAUUUCUGCAACAACUUGAUCCAUCUUUAUAGGUCAACAACUUUAUGAUACACUGAACAAAGAUCACCUUUAAAUAAUUGAUAUACAAUUAAUAGCGAAUGAUAUUACGUUAUUGUUAUCUUCCUUCAGAUUAAACUGUAAUAUAACAAUCUAAGAGUCCUGAUGGAAUAAUAACUAGGUUAUUAUUAUAAUAUAAUGAUUACUAAAAUAUAACAACUCUCAAACUAUUACGAUAACUAUAACUAAUACGAUAACAAUAACUAUAUCUAUUACUAAAUCUUGAAUUAUUAUUAUUAUAGUAAUUUUCUAAAAAUAAACAUCUCACUAAACUAUCACAAUAAUCAAAGACUAAAA